GGGCCCAUAGCUCAGUCGGCAGAGCAGCGGACUCAUAAUCCGCGUGUCGCAGGUUCGAGUCCUGCUGGGCCCACCA
rnacentral:tRNA from 3 species